rnacentral:lncRNA from 1 species
UUCUUCUUUCCUUCUUUUCUUUCUUUCUUUCUUUCUCUUCUUUCUGUCUUCUUCCCCGCUGCCCCUAUUUCCUUUCUUCUCCUUUUUUCUUCUUUCGGACGCCGCCCUUUUCUCUUGUUUCUUCGACCAUUGCGCGCCGCCUCCACCAGACGCCGCCUCCACCAGACGACGCCUCCACCUGCAGCCCACAGUAGCACGGGCCGCCGACACCAUCUCCAGCCGCGAUCCGCAACCCCCAACCCGCGCGCCGCCGCCACUGCUGUCCAGCACCUCGCGCGGCCAACAACUCCAGCUUCGUCCGCCACUCCCAGCUCGGCCCUGUCCUCCCUCGUUCACCCCACCACAGCCAACACCAGCUUCCUCCACCGCUGUCCGCGUGCGACAGCAGACCAGGACGCCACCUCUUUCCUCCGCACACCUCGUACGGCCCUCUACCUCACUCACUCCCCGUCGCUGGUCGGCACCACUGCCCAGACGCCGCAACUCGCGCCACAGCACUAGGCCUGACCAACCAGCGCGCCGCACGCAGCUCCUCGUGCGCGACAGCCGUGCGACGCCGCGCCUCCCUCAGCAACAGCUCCAAGCUCCAGCAAGCGCCACCACCAGCUCACUGCUGUCCAGCACCUCGCGCGGCAGCAACUCCAGCCGACAGAGCACCGCCUCCUUGAUCACCAGUUCCGCGGCCACGCACUUCACCACCUGUCCAAUUGAGACAGGUGGAGGUAUUAUACAUUCUUUCCCUAAUUAGUUUCAAUCUCUGAAAUUUGUGGUUGAAUUUCUUGUUGGAUUUGGGGGAAAUUGCUGCUAUAUGUGGGGUUAUUCUCUGAUAAUUAUUGAAUUUUUUAACUUGUGGGGUUAAUUAUGUGGGGUUAAUUUUUUUACUUGUGGCCCUUGAAUUGACAUUGGCUGGGCAUUUUUCUGCGUCUGUUUGUUGAAUUGGAGGGCUACUGUGUCCCUUCCUUUGCUAAUUGCUGAUUGAUUGUGCCUAAUUAACCAACUUGGGUUAUUUUGAGUCGUAUUGCACGUUUGGGCUGUUUUGUUCUUAUAUUGGAUUCUAUUGGGGCUGUUGCUCUUUAUUAAUUGCAUUUGCUGUCUUGUUGGGGAUUGUUCUAGCCUAAGGGUGCUUGCAUUGCUUUCCUGUCCGUGCACCAGUGGUACUGGUGGCAGUAUUGCUUUCCAUUUCUUCAUUCUCUGUGCUGAACUGUCUCUCAAUUCUCACCAUUUAUUGCUGCAAUUGCUGGUUAAAAUUGGGGGCACCCGUGACGCUUAUAUUUGCUACUUGGUUGUUUUGGGUUGCUUGCUGGUCACCAUGGUGAAGCCUCGAUCUUCUUCUAAGACUAGGACCCCUAGGACUCCUCAGCCCCCUCCACCCCAGCAUUCCAUUCCCGCCUCUGACCCCUCGCACGACCCUUCCUCCUCUGGGAGGCGGGCUCGUCUUGGGCGACAAAGAGGCGUCCAUAUCUCUGACCCUGCACAUUUUGGGGGUCAUUUGGACUUCACCAGGGCCGCCGACAAGGGGCGCUAUGAAGCGGUUUGUGAACGACGGAUUAUUCCUUGUCGUUAUCGGGACCCCGCCAUCUUGGGCCUUCUAAAUAUUAGCGUCCCCUUGCACGAUUUGAUUGAGGCCAUCGGGUGGCGCCCCUAUUCUCGUAUAACUGACCUCCCAGCCUUUGUUGAAUUAGUUAGGGAAUUCUAUGCCACAUUUGAAUUCAACCUUCCCACUGGUUACACAGUUUCCACCCCUGAUGUCAUCCGCUUCCGUUUAAUGGGUCAGGAAUUCCACCAUUCCAUAACUGACUUCAACCUGGCCUUUGGUUUCAUUGAUCCUGCCUAUGCUGAGUCUAGGGAGUAUGCCGAGAGUGCAUGUGACUAUGUUCAGCCGUUUUUCUCCCUCUAUCGCUUUAUUUGGGAUGAGAUGUCUGUCGAUAGGGAUAACUAUGACCCUCGUCUCUCUAAGGGUUCUUAUCUUAAGGACCCGGCGUCUCGCUAUAUCCACCGUUUUUUAGCUUUCAGUUUCUCGGGUAGGCGAGAUAGCUCGGGCGUUUUGUCUAAGCCGGAGUUUUUCUUUAUAUGGUGCAUGCAUAAUAACGUUAAAGUUAACUUGGGGUGCUGGCUCGCUUCUCAGUUCAAGUCCAUUUUGCCUAAAAAGAAGCGCCCCUUGAUUCUUGGGUCUUACAUUACUCACUUGGCUAUUAAUUUGCAUGUCCUUGAUAUUUCUAACCACAACUUGCAUAUAGCCUGUCAAAUGGAGCCUUUGGAUAUUCCGAGCUUGGAGAAAAUGGGCUUAGUUCGAGAGGGCGACAAUGGUUGGGAGGUUGUUCCCCCGGGACCGCUACACCCUCCCCCUCGUUCAUCCUUUGCCAGUGCCUCCACGGCAGGCGGUGAUCCCGGUCCAUCUUCCUCCGUUCCCUCCCAUUCCGCCCAUACGGAUGAGGAAUGGAACCAGCUCCGCAACACAGUUGAGCGGCUUGAGAUUCGGCAGAAACACAUGGACGUUAACAUUCACAAUAUGGCGCAGAAUCUAGCGGCUUUUAUGCAGCAAGCCGGGUUCCCUCCUCAAUUUUCGCCUAACCCACCCUUGUCUUGACGCCUUCAGGGAAGUACCGUUGCCCCUCCCCUUUUUCUGCUAUUAUCUUUUCACAUUGAGGGCAAUGCGUCAUUUAGGUGUGGGGGCGUCAGUUUGGGUGCUAGUUCUCGUUUCUUUAUUAUUUUUUAUCUUAUUUUCUGUUUAGGUGUUGCUCCUCUAUCCCUUUUGAGUGUCUUUCCCUUGCUUCUAUCUUGGUGAAUAUUUUUGGCAGCGCACUUUUUCUUGUUAGUUGUGGUUUGUACUAUGAGUUGAGUUACAGUGGCAAGUAAAAGCAUGCCUUCUUGGUGAAUACUUUGAGUUUAACGGCGUGGUGCAAUUUCUGGCUAACUCGUUUAGGCAAUAUAAAUAUUUUGCUGGCAUUGUUGUGUAGUUUGGUCUCCUGUUUACCUUAGUUCUCCAUAUUUGGGACAUGACGCAGGCUAUGAUAUGUAAUUAUUUGGUAUCUUGGUGUUUUAUGGUGAAUAACGUAUGGCUAUACUCCGCUAGUGUCGCCACCUAGUAACCGGGAGUUUUCACCACAAGUGUCGGCUCUCGCGUCAAAAAGUGACGAUAUCUAUGAGUAAAUAGUCCUGGAGCUAUGAAAGGUCGAGUAACUGGGCUCUUUCAUCUAAAAAUGUCAGAGUUCACGUCAAAAGACUUGAAUAGCUCUGGACUAAGCAAUCCAAAAAAAAAAAAAAAGACAAAAUCAGAUGUGGAGAGUAUGUGAGUUUAUGAUCAUGUUAGCCUGCCGAUCCUUGGUUCGUAUUGUUGAGAUUUUGGUUGACAGUUGACAUAAUUAUUGACUGUUGCUAGUUAGUAUUUGGAUUUCCUAAGCGAAUUAGCCAUGAAUUGGACAGGUCUAUGAACUUAGGAGCUAACCGGGAGAGACAUGUCUUGACACUAAGUCACUAGAUCUUGAUUUUGGGUAUACGCACAGUUGGCUAUGAUAAUGUGGAAGCUAGCCAUUGUUGAGCUAAAUUUUCCUCAUGCUUGAGGGCAAGCAUGAUUCAGGUGUGGGGGGAAUUGAUAGGGCACAAUUUGUUAGUGAUUUUAUUAUUAAUUUCCCCUUUUACCCCUGAUAAAUAUUGUGUUAAUUGCUGAUAUUUACUCAUAUUUGGUAUCUGGACUUAAUUUCAGGAAUAAAGCAGAAAACUACCAAAAAGGAGGGACUCUAUGGAAAAUGUGGAGACUCCUAAGAGCUUCAAUGCUUGGGCCCUUGAAUUGGUGGGGACCACAAGCUAGUGGAAAGCAUCUAGUCAAUUGGGCUCUUAAAAGAAAGCUACGGAAAGAGAUUUGGGGCAAGAAGUACUUUGAAGGCUUUGUCCACAUGUGUGGGGACCACCUAGAUAGACUUUAGUCAUCUUUCUUUUGUUGCUUAAAUAGGGAUAACGUAGAGUAGGAGGGACAUCUCUAGUUUUAGUCUUUUAGUGUAGCUUUACUUUUUCCUUCUUUUGACUGGCCUCUGACACACGCCAGGUGUUCGACAAAAUUCCCCAACGGGAAAAACAUCUUUUAUUCCUUGCUUUCUAGUAAAAAAAACGCUAUGCCUUUGCAAUCCAUUAAUUCGUGUGGUGAAUUAAUUAUGCGGCGUGGCUAAGUCUCCCAUCUAGUCAAGGGUCAAUUCGACGGCGCAGUCCCGAAAAUCUGUGAGAUCUAAUUAGUUUUCACGCGUUCCUUUAUCUAUUAAUAUUUGCA